rnacentral:lncRNA from 1 species
GUAUUGGAACUCUAUGGAAGCCAAAACCUGAAAUUGGAUUUUUUAUUGAAUUUUUUCUCUCCAUUGCCUGUACACACUGGGGGUUGGGAGUUUUAUUUUUAUGACUUCUUUUCUUUGCACAGUUGGUGAGGGCUGGCAUUUUAAAAAUAUUUUUAAUAAAAAAAUGAACAAGUUACACUGAAUCCUGGAUACAGUUACGCCCUAGCUCCCUAGUACUUUGGCCAUUUUCUGAGCACUCAAUGCUAAAUUGAUUACGGACUAGUUCCUGAAGAAACCCCAGUUAAGAACUGGAUAUUCUAGGAGAAAUUUCCGAAGGAUGUGCUUGUCAUUCAUUCUUUUAGGUUUUCCAGACUUCUUAAAACAAGCUAGGUCACAUGACAGCUAUAUAACAUCUAUAUGCCAUUAUAUAGCGCUGCCUCUAGAAAUAGCUUGGGUAGGUGGAUUUCAGCAAGAGAUAUUUUACUAAAAAUGUUGAUUACUCAAAGAAUGUUUUGCUUUUUAGGGCCGCACCCAAGGCUACAGCUGCUGGCCCACACCACAGCCACGGCAAUGCAGGAUCUGAGCCACGUCUGCAACCUACACUGUAGCUCAUGGCAACACCAGAUUCCCUGACCCAUUGGGCAAGGCCAGGGAUUGAACCUGCAUACUCAUGGAUACUAGUCAGACUCGUUUUCACUGCACUGUGAAGGGAACUCCAUCAAAGAACAUUUUUGUUUUUCUCAAAAUUGCAUUUGAGAAUAUUGCCCCUUAAAAUUGUCCAUAUAUACUUAUGGAUUUCUUUUAGAUUUAGUCCCCCUAGUUGCUACCGAUUUUCCGAUGGUCUGUUUCUAUCAAAGAAAGGCAUCCAUCGAUGCUAUUUCUACUUUUACCUUGGAGUUCAAGUAGCCAAGAGGAAAAUUAAUGCCUACUUGUAUUUUAACAAUUAAUCCCAUCUUUGUAAUGUAGUAGAAAUAAUCCCUAUUUGGAAUCAGAUAUAUUAUAUCUGGUCUUAAAUUCUAAUCCGUAGCUUAUUGUACACAUUUAACAUUUCUAAGUCUCUGUUUUCUUGCCUGUAAAAUGGGCAUAAAGCAUUUCCCCCCAAGGAAUCUAAAACUAGUUAAAGUAUAUAAAGCAUGUCCAGGUACUGAAUUAAUUAUUAUUAAUUUCUGUUUCCAUGCAGAUAAAUAUCAGCCUUUUCUUCUUAUAAUAUUUGUUGCAUGUAAAAUCGCUUGACAAAUAUUUUUAUACUCAAUUAGUUAAAGCCAGUUCAAACUCCAUUGUAAAUAAGUAAUAAUGACAGCUAAUCGUUAUUGACAGAUUUCUCUGUUCCAGGUGAUCUGCUAAGGCCUUAUACAUAUUCACUCAUUCGAUCCUUGGAAUAACCCUAUGAGUUAAGACCUACAACUUUCCCCCUUUACAGAUAAUGGAAUCCAGACACUGCAGGAGUCAAGAACUGGCCCAGGGUCAUGGAAGCCAGUUGGGUUUGAACCUGAACAGUCUGGGUUUAGAGUUGGGGGGUAUACCCUCACACAGGGUUCAUUAGUGCUCUAAUAGAUCCUGAAAAUACACACACUUGGGAGUUUUACACUCCAUCAAAACCCUUGCUUUUUUUUUUUUUUUUUUUUUUUUUCUGGCCAUACUUGUGACAUACAGAAUCUCCUGGGCCAGGGAUUAAACCCGAACCACUGCAGUGACAACACCAGAUCCUUAACCUGCUGAGGCACGGGGGAACUCCCCCAAAGCCUUGCCUUUUUAAGGACUCAAGUGACAUUUAUACAUAUAUUAAGAACUCUCAGAAUCAUUUAAAUAAUUUUAUCACUUUAAUUUCUCAAAUGGACAAAGGAGCACCUUCCACGCUGGCCUUCCCUAAAUGAGAACCUCUUGUUUUCCUAAUGAGGAUGUGGGUCGAUUUCAGGGAUAAAUAAGGGUUAUAGUGAGUCUGCAUUAAAAGCAGAGCAACUGGACCCUGCCCGGGGUCCCUUGUCCCUUCCUCUCUGCUCUGAGCCACCCAGGCCAUCUCUGGGCCGUGGUUCAGAAGCCUGUCCCACAUGACACGCUCCUUCCAUUUUUUCUGUUGAGAAUCAUCGGAUUCUUUGUCUGAGUCUUGCCUUUGUUGCCUUAGUUCUUAUUGAACCACCAGGAGGAAAAAAAAUAGGGAAAGCAAAUCACUACUUUGGUUUCACUUGGAUGGAAUGAAAUCUGCACACAGGACUCCAUGAAUUAAUUUUUGAACCAAAACAAGACACUUCAUAACUCAGAAUUAAAAGACCAAAGAAGCAGGAGAAAAACAUGCCAAAAGGAAAAAAAAAGCAGGAGCAAAUGACUCUGGGCUGCUUCUAAGUCAAGAUAAGUAUUGUUAGGUUUCAAAAAGAAAGGACCUUGGGUCCCAGGCUAAUGGCUUCUCAUGGUAUCGCUAUACUUACAGCAAAUAGUGGAAGGCUUCUUUCUCUUUCUUUAUUUCAAGCCACACAAUGUUAAAAUGAAUUUUGGGAAUCUGCUUCAUUUUUAAAUCAUGCUCUCUCUUCGCAAAAUUCACCAUUUAACCCACAGACAACAUAUCAUGGAAGACCUCCUUAAUUCUCACAUUUGCAUGACUUUCCAUCCAAUGGUUUAGGCUGGAGGAACAGGUGGAAGGCUGUGCAUUGGUCGCCAAAGGUACCCGUUUUUAAACCCAGUGCAACUGUAUCUCUCUUGUUGGUCCAUUAGUUAGGUGAUUAAACUUGAUCUUAAUUUAUCUGUGAACUCUUUGUGACAUGAAGUUCUCAGGGCCUGGCCUCUGCAGUUAGCAAGCUAGUGGGUGUCUCCAGGAUUUUAAUAUAUAAUUAAAUGUAAUACUAUUCAAUUUCUAAAUAUUUUAGACAGAUUCUCUUGCAUCACAUUCUGUAUUUAGCCUUAACAUAUUCUUGCCAAUCUCCCAUCUCUAGAUUCUAAGCAACCAGAAGCCAAGAAAGUGCCAAGUCCAUAUUUGAAUCUGUUACAGGACUUUUCCAGAAGCUCAAUAAGAAGUAAACUGAAAUCCUCCAAAAUGACUUCCUGCUGACAAAUUCAAGUUUUUCUGAGGUUUCCAGGCUGAAGCGAUCCUUCCCUGUCAUCAGCUGCCGCCAGAGCGUGUGCGUGGCCUCCAUGACCCGGCUGCCAGCAGGGUGUCCGAUGCUGAGUGCAGAGAACACGCUGAACUCUUCUGCUUCCAGCCUGUGAACCUCUCAGUAAGCUUCAGAAUACCUGGGUCUGAACAGAGAAAGUUCAGAACACCUUUCCUAGCCAGAAAAGUCUUGCACGGCGGGGAAAAAAAAAAUACCUAGUCCCACUUCACAGGUACCUGGAAUUCAUGAAAUCCGAGGACUUCGCUCAUUCAACUUUCAACUGAAAGCUCAAGCACAAAACACCAAAGGCUCACAGAGAGAGGGAUCAGGACCCGGCAGCCCGGGGAAGAUGUGCGCCAGCAAUCGCUUGGGAAACCCCAUUAUUUUGCGGGCCUUUGACAGCCCAUGGCUCUGUUUUCUGUGAUUCAGAUUCGCUGACCACACCACAUCAACUCUCAGAUUGUUCUACGGUGAAUGCAAGGUUCCAGUGGGCUGGCCUGUGUGAUUAGUUCAUUCUAGAUCCCGGCUUUCUGUAGUAGUGCUGCCUAGUUUUUUUCCUCCCGAGCAUAUCUGCUUCAGGAAGCGUGGAGAGAAGAGAGGUUGAUGGGAAAAUCCUAUCAAGUGACAAUGACAUGUCCUGGUGGAAAAAGUUCUGGGCUAAACAGAUUCGGGGUUUUACUGUUAAGCUAACAUGAGAUUACCUAUCCUAACAAGAUUUAAGCGUCGUGUUUUUCUAAAUGCUCUUUCAUUUGUGUUAAAACGGGGGGAGGGGGAUAUGACAUCUAACCCUUUUUUCCUGAGAAAAUAAUCACCAUCCUCCAUGCUUUGCCAACAAAAAUCUGUUUUCCCCUCAUUUAUUAUGGGAGCUCCAGUAUCUGCAACUUGGGAAAAUCACCACUGUAGCCAGGAUAUUUGUUUGGUUUUGCCUUUGGCCUUUUUGUGCAGGAGUGAUAUGUACACAUGUGAGUACACAUGCAUUUGUGUGUGCCAUGUGCCCAGGUGUUACUUGAAGGUGAGGCACUCUCAGAAGUGUAAGAAAUCAUCACAACCAUUUACAAGGAAGAAGUUCUUCCUUUUCAUUCUCUGGACCUUUCAUAAUUUUGUGUUUUUCAUUUUACAUUGACCUAUCAACCACCUACUAUGUUUUAAAAAACUGUUCAGAUUUGUUCAUUGGAAAGAUGAGAUCUGUUUAGUCCUUUGCCAUUGAACAUUACUUUUUCUUUUAUUAAGAUAUAGUUGAUUUCCAAUGUUUCUUCAAGUUCUGUUGUACAGCAAAGUGACCCAAUCACACACAGUUCCCUGUGCUGUACAGUAGGGCCCCUUUGCCCACACAUUCCAAAUAUAACAGCGUGCAUCCAAAAAAAUUUUUAUAUUUGCCAUUAAACCAUUUUAAGUGAAUCAUUUGCUUAUAACUCUCUGAAGAGUAGAUUUGCUUACGUGUGAUUUUUUCCCCCAAAGUCUGUUUUCAGUUUAUCUAUUAAAAACAAAGAGGAAAAAAAAAAAA